rnacentral:piRNA from 1 species
UAGAGGUGACGUUGAGUUUGUAAGCUAA